rnacentral:lncRNA from 1 species
AUUGGAAGGUCAAUCUUAAAUGCUGUAUAGGAGGAUCUCAUUGAGAAGAUAUCAUUUGAGCAAAGAUGUAAAGCAAGGGAGGGAAUGAGUCAGUGGCUACAUAGCGAGAGUGUCCUAGGCAGAGGAAACAGCUUCUACAAAAGCCCUGAAGCAAGAGAAUGUUUGAAGUGUUCAAGAAUAAACAGGAGAUGCAGAAUGAAUGGAAUUGAGAGUGAGUGAGGCAGUCGGAUACAAGAGAGACUAAUAUGGGGCAGCACUGAAGACUGCUGACAGCAGCCACAUGAGUGAGCUCAGAGUGGACACAACAGCCCCUUCAGAGGCUGCAGGGAUGGCAGACAGCCUGACUGCAAUGUCGUGAAAGAUGCUGAGGCAGAACCAUGCAGCAAAGUCAUUCCCAGAUUCCUGACUCUCAGAAAAUAACUCACACCCUUCAACACUGGUCCACCCUGGAAGUUGGAAAGAAAUAUCUUCACUGACAUGAGAACAACAUAUUUGCCUAAUGUUUGUCAUUUUUAUUUUAAAAAACACAUUUCCUUCAUGUGCAAUUUUAAAUUAUAAUUGGAUGUAUAAUAUCUCGAGACCCUGGCUUUUUCUUUAAGCACAAUUUCUCCUUUUUUAUUACAUAAAAAGUAAUGAGAAAAAUAGAUAUUCAUUCGACAAAAGAAUGUUCAAGCCUAGUUACUUAAUGAGCCUUUAUUUGCAUUUGGACCCUAAAAUUAUCCCAUCCCUUCACUCCAUGUAUCCUGUAUUUCUGAUUUUCCUCUAAGAACCAGGACUCAAUUCCUGCUCCAUGACUACAUUUGGAACUUCACUGCUGAGUUUCCGGUUCUGCUAGAGCUUCCAAGAAUGGUGGGCUAAAGUCCCUUUCCUCGAUAAUCUCAUUUCUCAUGGUUUUCUACUUAAAGCAAUACUGUCUAUGAAGUGCAACCUGGCUCUUCCUUCUCCCGUAAUCAUUGCCUCUCUGGAUUUUCCUUCUUCCAAGACUCCCUUUCCUGAUUCCCUUUAACACCCCUUUCAUAAUUCACAUCCAGAGAGUUCUCUGCAAUCACCUACCCAUCCCAAUCUCCAUUAUUUAUUUCAUGUUAUUACCUUUCACAAUUCAUAUAGUAAAUGUUACUUAGAACAGAGGCUGCUCUAGUGUUUCAUUGAUUUGUCUCAUUUUAUUUCUGGUCAUUGAAUGGCACAGUGAUAUCACAUGAGGUUGGACAGAGUUAUUUUCCAUCGCCAUCAUAAAGCUUUAUGACUAUAAGUGGGUUUGUCUUUUACCAGUUCACUGUCUUCCUCUAAAGAUGGUCUCUCCUAUCUCUUGCGUAGGACGCACUAAUCACUAAUGUCCCACAGAAGGAUAUCCUGAGCUGUCCUUGGAGCCAUUUGGCAUGGAACCUUACAGAGUGCCCCUACCCUCUGUGCCUGGCUUCCAUCCUCCUGACUCUUUGUGACUUUCAGAUCUUAAAACUAAAAUCAGGUGCAACACUUAACCUCCAGAGGAAUAAUCUGUGGCUCUUACACGGAGAUGAUUGAUAAACACUUUCCCCUCUCUUUUCUUAUGUUUGUUUUCUUAAUUAGAUUUAUUGUUUUUCUAUUCUCUCCUCUCCCUCAAGGUACAUGUGCACACGUAUCCACUCCCGCAAUGUGGCAAAGGCUUGGAAAGGUACCCUUCCCCAGCCUUCCUCCCCAGACUCUAACCUCUUUGAAAUGGGCAGGAAGGAGAAGUUCUCUUUGAUGUUCAUUUGAAUGUGC